rnacentral:rRNA from 1 species
UGUGGUUACAAUAGCAGAGAGGAUACACCUGUUCCCAUUCCGAACACAGAAGUUAAGCUCUCUAGCGCUGAUGGUACUUGGUGGGA